rnacentral:lncRNA from 1 species
AAAAAGAAAAACUAUAUUUUCUAUUCUAAUAAGCAGUGCUUAAUUAAUUAAAUAAAUAAAUGAGAGCACGAAGAUGCCAGAUAGGCAGUUUGGACUUUGGAGUAGUCCGCAGAACAUUUGAAAAAAGAAUCAGGAAAGGUAAUAUUCGGACAAGGCGACGAAUUUGAACCAAUGAGCUGUCGUCGCGUCUCUCUCGAGCAGAGAGGGAGGGGAGAAAAAAGCCAUUUACAAAAAGUGUUUGGUCUUCGGACAAGGCGACGAAUUUGAACCAAUGAGCUGUCGUCGCGUCUCUCUCGAGCAGAGAGGGAGGGGAGAAAAAAGCCAUUUACAAAAAGUGUUUGGUCUUUCUCUUUCUCUCUCUAUCUCCCAUUUUUUGAAUUUUAGGUUGUGAUUCUCGUUCCUCGUCCUUUUUUCUCUUCCCUGCAUCCUUUCCCUUCCUCUUCAAAGCAAAUUCUUUAUGCUGUUGAUCAAAACAAUCCGAUAACGACCAACCGGGACGGAGCU